UGGCUAACUCCUACGGGAGGCAGCAGUAGGGAAUCUUCCACAAUGGACGCAAGUCUGAUGGAGCAAUGCCGCGUGAGUGAAGAAGGCUUUCGGGUCGUAAAACUCUGUUGUUGGAGAAGAGUGGUCGGCAGAGUAACUGUUGUCGGCGUGACGGUAUCCAACCAGAAAGCCACGGCUAACUACGUGCCAGCAGCCGCGGUAAUACGUAGGUGGCAAGCGUUAUCCGGAUUUAUUGGGCGUAAAGCGAGCGCAGGCGGUUUUUUAAGUCUGAUGUGAAAGCCCUCGGCUUAACCGAGGAAGUGCAUCGGAAACUGGGAAACUUGAGUGCAGAAGAGGACAGUGGAACUCCAUGUGUAGCGGUGAAAUGCGUAGAUAUAUGGAAGAACACCAGUGGCGAAGGCGGCUGUCUGGUCUGUAACUGACGCUGAGGCUCGAAAGCAUGGGUAGCGAACAGGAUUAGAAACCCCAGUAGUCCAGCUGG
rnacentral:rRNA from 1 species